GUACUUCCUGUUUCGGACCUGCUGGAGCUACUCAGAGCCUGCGUUUUUGAGAAUGCUCACUUGUAAAUGCUAACAGAAGAUAUCUUUUUCAGAUAUAGUUUAAUUUCACAGGUUCUAUGUUGCAGCCCUAAACUUAAAAUGCUUCAACAGAGAGGAAGAACACAUUGGGGAUCCAAAAAAGAAGAAAAAAAAUCAUCUCUGGCCUCGCCAGUCCAGUGCUGUGAGCUGGGCCCUCCAUGGAGAAGGAACCUGAGUUUGCUGAUCCUAAGGGAAAUGCUGUUGUGGAGGCCACGGGGGCAUUAUCUAUCAAGGAGACAGAGAGCCCUCUCGGGGACAAUGCCUUGCACACUCCACAUCACCCUGUUUGGCCCCGGAGGAUGGCUGGUUAGUCAAAUAUGGGGUUCUCCUUCAGCAACAAAUUUAAUAAAAGGGGAGGAGGUGUUGGAAAAACUUCCAGUUACAACUAGCAGCUACGAGCAGCUUGCAGUGCUUGAGGAAUCCGCAUUCCUUCAGGCCUGACAGGAACACCUGCAGGAUGGGGUGCUCUGCUCUAGGAGCCGUCCAUGAAACCACAUCCUCCGCACUGUGGUUAGCAUUGCCAAACUACCAGGCCAGGAAACCGAGUCAGGGGCUGCAGGGCAUGAAAUCCCUGACUCAAUAAGCCCUUCUCUUAGGGCCAAAGACCCUUUCAGAUUGCUUUCCACCACGACAGCAAUAUUUAGAGUUUCCUCACAGUGUGGUUACAUUAGGCAGAAGAUGAUUGGCUUAUGGAUAUUGUCUUGCUUAUGUAUGAUUGACAGGCACGUCCCACUCAAACCCUAUAACAGUUGUGUGCAUUCCAAAAAGAAACUGAGCUACUGGAGUCGAGUUGAGGUUUGUCACCAGUCAGUUCUCACCAGCUCCCGGAGUCUGUGUGUUGAGUCCGAAUGUCUCUUACCCCCCCACACCCCUGCGACUAAGUUAGCCAAGCAACUAAUUCACCACACCAGUGACAGGAACAUAUGCAAGACAGCAUAUGAGAAACCUAAACCAGCCAAUUAUGCUGGUCUUUAAUGAUACAGUAUAUAUGAACAAUUGUCAGAAAGAUUAUUAAAAUAGAUUUUCCAAGAGUAUUUACAUUACUGACAGACCUAAUAGACUCCUUAAAUGUGAGAAUUAAGAAAAAAGAUGAUAAAUAUCUUGUAACCUGUAAAAAUACAACUUAUUGUAUCAUUAGUUUAUUGCCAGCUAAUAUUUCAGAGCUAUGAUAUGCUGAGGUUAAUAUUCAGGCUUUAAAACAGGUGUAUGUCAAUUAACCAGACCUAAGCAAACUGCUGGUCUCAUAAUCCCUAAAGUGACUACUUUAAAUAUUAUUCCUUGCUUAUUCAAUUGUAGCCUUUGUGGCUAUACCUUAAAAUUUACAAUGUAUGGAUUUUCUUAAUGUUUGACUUAAAUUACUUCCAAAAUCCUUCAUGGUCAGAUAAGCUGAUGGAAGGAUGAGAACUAAGUUAUAAUGCUCUAGAAGACAAUGUAAUAAAUAAUGUGAAUGAGCCCUCUGCUAAUGAAAAUGUCUAUGUUACUAUGGCCAAAUGCAAUGCCUCCCAAUAAAAUUGGAAAAAGAUUAAGAAUCUUCUGAUGAGUGUUUGGUGAAGUAAUAAUAAUAACCUGGAUCUUCCAAGUUGAUUGUGUUAUUAAAAUGGUAUGUUUUCUACUGA